rnacentral:tRNA from 1 species
AGCCCCGGAGCCCCUUAAGGGCUCUUCUUCAAACUUGCAUUUUGACGUGUUAACACCCCAGGGCUAAG